AUUGAACGCUGGCGGCAUGCUUUACACAUGCCAGUCGAACGGUAACAGCACUUCGGUGGCUGACGAGUGGCGAACGGGUGAGUAAUACAUCGGAACGUGCCUAGUAGUGGGGGAUAACUACUCGAAAGAGUAGCUAAUACCGCAUGAGAUCUAAGGAUGAAAGCAGGGGACCUUCGGGCCUUGCGCUACUAGAGCGGCUGAUGGCAGAUUAGGUAGUUGGUGGGAUAAAAGCUUACCAAGCCGACGAUCUGUAGCUGGUCUGAGAGGACGACCAGCCACACUGGGACUGAGACACGGCCCAGACUCCUACGGGAGGCAGCAGUGGGGAAUUUUGGACAAUGGGCGCAAGCCUGAUCCAGCAAUGCCGCGUGCAGGAUGAAGGCCUUCGGGUUGUAAACUGCUUUUUACGGAACGAAAAGCCCUCUUCUAAUACAGGAGGGUCAUGACGGUACCGUAAGAAUAAGCACCGGCUAACUACGUG
rnacentral:rRNA from 1 species